rnacentral:rRNA from 1 species
UACGUAGGGUGCGAGCGUUGUCCGGAAUUAUUGGGCGUAAAGGGCUCGUAGGCGGUUUGUCGCGUCGGGAGUGAAAACCUCGGGCUUAACUCGGGGCUUGCUUUCGAUACGGGCAGACUGGAGGUAUGCAGGGGAGAACGGAAUUCCGGGUGUAGUGGUGAAAUGCGUAGAUAUCCGGAGGAACACCAGUGGCGAAAGCGGCCACCUGGACUGCACCUGACGCUGACACGCGAAAGCUAGGGGAGCGAACGGG